rnacentral:rRNA from 1 species
GACCAUUUUUAUUCGGUUUUUUUUUGAAGGGUUUAAAAAUGAACAAGGUCUCCGUUGGUGAACCAGCGGAGGGAUCAUUACCGAGUUUACAACUCCCAAACCCCUGUGAACAUACCACUUGUUGCCUCGGCGGAUCAGCCCGCUCCCGGUAAAACGGGACGGCCCGCCAGAGGACCCCUAAACUCUGUUUCUAUAUGUAACUUCUGAGUAAAACCAUAAAUAAAUCAAAACUUUCAACAACGGAUCUCUUGGUUCUGGCAUCGAUGAAGAACGCAGCAAAAUGCGAUAAGUAAUGUGAAUUGCAGAAUUCAGUGAAUCAUCGAAUCUUUGAACGCACAUUGCGCCCGCCAGUAUUCUGGCGGGCAUGCCUGUUCGAGCGUCAUUUCAACCCUCAAGCACAGCUUGGUGUUGGGACUCGCGUUAAUUCGCGUUCCCCAAAUUGAUUGGCGGUCACGUCGAGCUUCCAUAGCGUAGUAGUAAAACCCUCGUUACUGGUAAUCGUCGCGGCCACGCCGUUAAACCCCAACUUCUGAAUGUGACCUCGGAUCAGGUAGGAAGCCGAGUCCC